ACGGGAGGCAGCAGUGGGGAAUAUUGGGCAAUGGGGGAAACCCUGACCCAGCAACGCCGCGUGAAGGAAGAAGGCCUUCGGGUUGUAAACUUCUUUUACCAGGGACGAAGACGUGACGGUACCUGGAGAAAAAGCCACGGCUAACUACGUGCCAGCAGCCGCGGUAAUACGUAGGUGGCAAGCGUUAUCCGGAUUUACUGGGUGUAAAGGGAGCGUAGGCGGGAUGGCAAGUCAGAUGUGAAAACUAUGGGCUCAACCCAUAGACUGCAUUUGAAACUGUUGUUCUUGAGUGAAGUAGAGGUAAGCGGAAUUCCUAGUGUAGCGGUGAAAUGCGUAGAUAUUAGGAGGAACAUCGGUGGCGAAGACGGCUUACUGGGCUUUUACUGACGCUGAGGCUCGAAAGCGUGGGGAGCAAACAGGAUUAGAUACCCUGGUA
rnacentral:rRNA from 1 species